CUUUCCUUUAGCAAUUUAAUUGACUUUGUUAUGAAUUGAACGUGUUACUAUGAUAUUCAUUGUAAGGUAUAAGUUUCAAUUAGUUUCAACUUGAAUUAUGUUUGGAGAGAAAUAUGGAUUUCAAUUGGUGUUUAUAAGUAUACUUGGAAUGACUGAUUUGGACAUUCCUCUUGGUUGAUGUAUUGAAAUUUGAUAUUCAAUUGGUGUUUAUAAGAAAAACCUUCUUGAACAACCUCGCCAUACUCUCCAUAGCUUCUUGAACAACAUCGCCAUAGAACACCAUCCCUACAACCACCACUCCCCAUAAUCCGAAUUCUUCCAUCACAAUUCCACCUUUGCUUUCAUAAAAUUCAUAAUCAGGGUUUUCACAUUGUUCAAUUCGUCAAUUCUUUUCGUCAAUUUGUGAUUUUUUUCGUCAAUUUGAAGGCUGACAACAUGUCUAUGUUUUGAGGAUCUCACACAAGAUGGCUUGUUUACUUUAUUGCUUAAUAUUUCUAGAUUUUGAUAUAUUAAACUGAUUCUCACUUGUAAGUCUGUAAAUGAUAGAUUCUUUUUAUGUGAGGUGCUCAUCAUGUCUAUGUUUUGAGGAUCUCACACAAGAUGGUAUUUUCACUUUAUUGCCCAAUAUUUCUUGAUUUUGAUAUAUGAAACUGAUUGUCACUUGCAGAGCCUAUAACAAUUGUACAAUACAAUCGAUAAGUCUGUAAAUGAUAGAUUCUCUUUAUGUGAGGAUUAUGUUCGUCUAUUGGCCGUUGAAGGUUGUGCAGCCCUUGGAAAGCUUUUGGAGACUCAAGAUUGCAUUGUACACAUUCUUCCUGUAAUUGUUAAUUUCUCUCAAGUAUUGCGAGAGAAUAAAUAUAGCAUAUUUAAGUAUUCUUCCUAGAUAUCUUACUUGUGUAUUCUUGGUGGGAUUAAUGUCUUUGUGAGAGAACUGCCUUGGUGUAAAAAACCUUAUUCUUACUGGGAAAGGUUGCGUUCAGUGUUACCAACUUCUCGAGCACUUCAUAACUUGGAGCGAAAUUGCAAUAUGCUAGUAGUUACAUCAGUGAGGACUAGAUGAACAUGAUUUGCGCCAAUUAUGUAGCUUAGUUUAGCCUAUAUCAAAGACAGUCAUGCUUUUGUCAUUGAACUUUAAGGAGUCUCUAGUGGGUAAAUUUUUUAACUUUGUAAUUUGGAUUAUGAUGGAUUAGAUCUGAGAGUUUCUUUAUUUCUUUUCAAAACUAUCCUUUUCUUAAUUUUUUGUUGUGUACUGGUAGUGGUUGCCAGUGAGUUGCCUUGCUUCUAGUAUAUUUCUGGAAAACCUCUUUGCAAUUGUAAGGUUAAGGAUCAAAGAGGAUUUUUUUGCAGCUCUUUGGUUAAGGUUGUAUAUGUUUGAGUCCAUAAGCUACUAGAGAUAUUAAGGUAAUGGUGUGAUAUGGUAUGAUAUUAUUGUCUCAUAAAUCAUCUGAAUUCCCAAAGGUUACAUAUUUUAUAUCUUGUUUAGUGGUUAUUACCAAUGUUCAAGAAUCUAGUCUAUCUAGACAUGCUGUCUCUUUAUCCUACACUGUGAUCCUUCAAGCUUCCAGCCUCUUUGCGAUGUCUUUUCUUCUCUCAUUUUGCGAGUUAUUAUGUUUUGAACUGACAUAGCUAAUUCAGCUUGAAAUGAUGAUUAAGGACUGAAAAUGGAUUUGUAUUAAUAAAAUGGAAAUUGCAGAAAAUAUGUAAAGAUACUAAAAACUUCCAAAAGGCUUGAUUCCCUCCUAAUAAAUUCUUAAAAUCUCACCAGAACUCUCAUUAAUAUUUUCCAUGCUUUCCCUGAUCUUACUUCCUCUAUUUAUAGAGUUUCUAUCCUAACCAACUUACUUAGUCUUCAAGCCACUAACUUAUGAAAGUACUACCAAAAGUGCCCCUUCCCCCUUAUAUCAGUACUCAGCAUAUUACUGGGGCUAGGAGCUCGGUUUCAAUGAAGGACAAGUAUGCAUCCCCUUAUAGUUUUGUUAAAUGAACCUGGCUGUCAGGAAAUCUUUGACAGGUGACAAAGUCCCUGAAGUGUAGUAGCAAAUAAAUUUCGCAAUUAGUUUGUCUGAGUUCUUACGUGUCUCGUUUGGUCUUCAUGCUUCUUCGACAAAUAAUGCUUAUUGUACAUGAAUGUAUUGCGCUUGGUUCUAAUUUCACUUGAAGUAAACUAUCUCACUUUUACUCUAGAUUACCGGUGGAGGAAAUGGUGCUACAAAAGUUUCGGCAACAAUGUGUUUUGCCUCAAUUGUUAGCUAUGUCCCAAUAUUGCAUUGCACAGUUUGUGUCGUUUCCUAUCUUCAUUUGUUGGCUGACUGUUAUGUGUACAAUUGCAGGUUGGCAUUUCAGUCUUUGUGACCGGAAGACACGGAGAGCAAAGUAAUUACUCUUUUCUAAUGCUGUGAUAUGUAAACAAAAGUUUAGCACACUUGACCUAGACUGGCAAGGGUCAGGGGUGAACAAGGCCAUAGUCACUCCAGAAUAGGAGUAUUUCACAAGACUCAUACAUUACAUUGCGAAAGGCAAUUGAUUUUGGAAAUCUAACAAGCAAAGCUCUUCUCAUUUCUCAUUGACCUUGGAUUAUGCUUUUAUUGAGUAAACUCUUUGGCUCAUUUUUUACAAUGGUCGUUGAGUAUUUCUACUCAUUUAUAUCAAUAAUAUCAUUUUAUUUCCUCUUCAA